AUUGAACGCCGGCGGCAUGCCUUACACAUGCAAGUCGAACGGUAACAGGUCUUCGGAUGCUGACGAGUGGCGAACGGGUGAGUAAUGCAUCGGAACGUGCCCAGUUGUGGGGGAUAACUGCUCGAAAGAGCAGCUAAUACCGCAUACGACCUGAGGGUGAAAGCGGGGGAUCGCAAGACCUCGCGCAAUUGGAGCGGCCGAUGUCAGAUUAGGUAGGUGGUGGGGUAAAGGCCUACCAAGCCGACGAUCUGUAGUUGGUCUGAGAGGACGACCAGCCACACUGGACUGAGACACGGCCCAGACUCCUACGGGAGGCAGCAGUGGGGAAUUUUGGACAAUGGGCGCAAGCCUGAUCCAGCAAUGCCGCGUGCAGGAAGAAGGCCUUCGGGUUGUAAACUGCUUUUGUACGGAACGAAACGGUCCUGGUUAAUACCUGGGGCUAAUGACGGUACCGUAAGAAUAAGCACCGGCUAACUACGUGCCAGCCGCCGCGGUAAUAC
rnacentral:rRNA from 1 species